UACAGAGGGGGCAAGCGUUGUUCGGAAUUACUGGGCGUAAAGGGCGCGUAGGCGGCCUGUUAAGUCGAACGUGAAAUCCCCGGGCUCAACCCGGGAACUGCGUCCGAUACUGGUAGGCUUGAAUCCGGGAGAGGGAUGCGGAAUUCCAGGUGUAGCGGUGAAAUGCGUAGAUAUCUGGAGGAACACCGGUGGCGAAGGCGGCAUCCUGGACCAACACUGACACUGAGGAGCGAAAGCCAGGGGAGCAAACGGG
rnacentral:rRNA from 1 species